GACGAACGCUGGCGGCGCGCCUAACACAUGCAAGUCGAACGAGAAAGAGGGAGCUUGCUCCCUUGAUCGAGUGGCGAACGGGUGAGUAACGCGUGAGGAACCUGCCUCAAAGAGGGGGACAACAGUUGGAAACGACUGCUAAUACCGCAUAAGCCCACGGCUCGGCAUCGAGCAGAGGGAAAAGGAGCGAUCCGCUUUGAGAUGGCCUCGCGUCCGAUUAGCUAGUUGGUGAGGUAACGGCCCACCAAGGCGACGAUCGGUAGCCGGACUGAGAGGUUGAACGGCCACAUUGGGACUGAGACACGGCCCAGACUCCUACGGGAGGCAGCAGUGGGGAAUAUUGCACAAUGGGGGGAAACCCUGAUGCAGCGACGCCGCGUGGAGGAAGAAGGUCUUCGGAUUGUAAACUCCUGUUGUUGAGGAAGAUAAUGACGGUACUCAACAAGGAAGUGACGGCUAACUACGUG
rnacentral:rRNA from 1 species